rnacentral:lncRNA from 1 species
AAGUUUGAGUUUCAGCUCAGAACCCAAGAGCUGAGAUACAGACACCAGUAGACUUGACAUGACUCAUGAUGCUCUCCUUCCCUGGCACUGACAAUCAUAGCACACAACGUGAGAAACUGAGAACGCAUCUCCCCCUGGACAUCAGAGUGAUCUUGAUAAAAGGGGAGACCUGGGAGGUGAAUGGAUGGCCACAAGGACACUCAUCGCAUCGUUGGUCUAUCGGCUUCUUAAUCUUCUGUGUCUGACUCCCUGAACCUGACCGUCCUAAUUAGCAGAGCCCUAAUCUUUCCUUGACCAUCUCCUGUUCAGAAGUGGAGAAGUUAUCCAUCAACAGUCCCUGCCUGGAAAGAGCUUGGCUUCUGCCCUCCACAUGGCAUGCGGAUUUCCUUUUAUCUAAGAGAAAACCUAGGAUACCCUGGAAGCUGACAACUCUGCUUGAGAACAGGCACCAUCAUGGGUAUCACCGACCCAACUCUGGACAACAUGCUGCAUCCAUGAACUGUUCACAGAACUCUGGAAAAACCUUCUUUCAUUAAGCAAACAUCUUAAUAAAACGACCUGCCCUCUCCUGCUGUGCAUGUGCAUUGCACACACAGUGGUAAGGCUAAUUGUGCUUAUCCUGACAUGAAUGUCCACAGAGGACUCUGGGCACAAUUCUACCACACUAGCAGCAGAUGUGAGUCACUGGAAUAAGUUCUUCAUCAGUAAAGGUGCUGAAAUGUGGAGUCCAAGAGAGCCCCGGCUCUGCACAGAGAAGACAUCUGGGAGAUGCUAAUUGAAGACUGAAGAAAAAUGAGAGCAAUUCCAUGGUCUCUGAUCUAAAUUAUACAUUCACCCUCUCCUGGCUCUUUGAGACACAUAAUAGAUGAAUAAAAAGAGCAAAACUUUGGAGCAUUAAUUCUUAAAACGCAGGCAGGGGAUUCUGCAUCCAGGUCCU